rnacentral:rRNA from 1 species
UACGUAGGGGGCGAGCGUUGUCCGGAAUCAUUGGGCGUAAAGCGCGUGUAGGCGGCCCAGUUAGUCUGGUGUGAAAUCUCGGGCUUAACCCCGAGCGGUCACUGGAUACUGCUGGGCUAGAGUCCGGAAGAGGAGAGUGGAAUUCCUGGUGUAGCGGUGGAAUGCGCAGAUAUCAGGAGGAACACCAAUGGCGAAGGCAGCUCUCUGGUACGGUACUGACGCUGAGACGCGAAAGCGUGGGAGCGAACAGG